UACGGAGGAGGCAAGCGUUGUCCGGAAUUAUUGGGCGUAAAGCGCGCGCAGGUGGUUUAAUAAGUCUGAUGUAAAAGCCCACGGCUCAACCGUGGAAGGUCAUUGGAAACUGUUAGACUUGAGUGCAGGAGAGGAAAGUGGAAUUCCUAGUGUAGCGGUGAAAUGCGUAGAGAUUAGGAGGAACACCGGUGGCGAAGGCGGCUUUUUGGCCUGCAACUGACACUGAGGCGCGAAAGCUUGGGGAGCAAACAGG
rnacentral:rRNA from 1 species